rnacentral:rRNA from 1 species
GAUGAACGCUAGCGAUAGGCUUAACACAUGCAAGUCGAGGGGCAGCAUGGUCUUAGCUUGCUAAGACUGAUGGCGACCGGCGCACGGGUGCGUAACGCGUAUGCAACUUGCCUCACAGAGGGGGAUAACCCGUCGAAAGACGGACUAAUACCGCGUACACUUGGGAUAGGGCAUCCUGACCCAAGGAAAUGAAAUUCGCUGUGAGAUAGGCAUGCGUCCCAUUAGCUAGUUGGUGAGGUAACGGCUCACCAAGGCGACGAUGGGUAGGGGAACUGAGAGGUUGAACCCCCACACUGGUACUGAGACACGGACCAGACUCCUACGGGAGGCAGCAGUGAGGAAUAUUGGUCAAUGGGCGAGAGCCUGAACCAGCCAAGUCGCGUGAAGGAUGACUGUCUUAUGGAUUGUAAACUUCUUUUAUACGGGAAUAACAAGAGCCACGUGUGGCUCCCUGCAUGUACCGUAUGAAUAAGCAUCGGCUAACUCCGUGCCAGCAGCCGCGGUAAUACGGAGGAUGCGAGCGUUAUCCGGAUUUAUUGGGUUUAAAGGGUGCGUAGGCGGCUCUGUUAAGUCAGCGGCGAAAUCUAGGAGCUUAACUCCUAAAUUGCCAUUGAUACUGGCGGG